rnacentral:rRNA from 1 species
UACGAAGGGGGCUAGCGUUGCUCGGAAUUACUGGGCGUAAAGGGCGCGUAGGCGGAUAUUUAAGUUGGGGGUGAAAUCCCGGGGCUCAACCUCGGAAUUGCCUUCAAAACUGGAUAUCUUGAGUUCGGGAGAGGUGAGUGGAACUCCGGAGUGUAGAGGUGAAAUUCGUAGAUAAUUCGGAAGAACACCAGUGGCGAAGGCGACUCACUGGCCCGAUACUGACGCUGAGGCGCGAAGCGUGGGGAGCAAACAGG